CAGCUGCAGAAUGGGGAGACCUUGGUGGUAACUAAAAUGGAGCCAUAGUAGAAAGAAGUCUUGGCCGGCUACAGUGGCGCAUGCCUGUAAUCCCAGCCCUUUGGGAGACUGAGGCAGGCAGAUCGCUUGAGGUCAGGUGUUCGAGACCAGGCUGGCCAACAUGGUCAUCAAUCUCUGACAAGAACCUUUCAGAGUGCUUGAUGAUAUUGCAAGUAGCAAGCUGUGCUGCAUUAAAAGAUGAUGAAUCUCUGUUCAGGAUGGAACGGAGUGUUUGGCAUCUCCACUUCAUCUUUCGUAAAGGCUGAAUGAACUCUUUGCUGCCACUUAUUGAAGAUAAAAGGAGGCAGAAUUACCCUUAAGUAAAUACUUUGGCCUCAGUAUUUCCUCCACUUUGUACAUUAAUAAAAAUCCCUUUCUUUCA
rnacentral:lncRNA from 10 species